GAUGAACGCUGGCGGCGUGCCUAAUACAUGCAAGUCGUACGGAAAGGCCCUUCGGGGUACUCGAGUGGCGGACGGCUGAGUAACGCGUGGGAACGUGCCCCAAAGUGAGGGAUAACGCACCGAAAGGUGUGCUAAUACCGCAUAUGGUCUUCGGAUUAAAGCUUCGGCGCUUUGGGAGCGGCCCGCGUACGAUUAGAUAGUUGGUGAGGUAAUGGCUCACCAAGUCGACGAUCGUUAGCUGGUCUGAGAGGAUGAUCAGCCAGACUGGGACUGAGACACGGCCCAGACUCCUACGGGAGGCAGCAGUAAGGAGUCUUUCACAAUGGGGGCAACCCUGAUGGAGCAACGCCGCGUGCAGGAUGAAGGUUUUCGGAUCGUAAACUGCUUUUAUAAGUGAAGAAUAUGACGGUAACUUAUGAAUAAGGAUCGGCUAACUACGUGCCAGCAGCCGCCGCAG
rnacentral:rRNA from 1 species